AUUGAACGCUGGCGGCAGGCCUAACACAUGCAAGUCGAGCGGAAACGAUCCUAGCUUGCUAGGAGGCGUCGAGCGGCGGACGGGUGAGUAACGCGUGAGAAUCUACCCAUGAGUGGGGGACAACCCGGGGAAACUCGGGCUAACACCGCAUACGCCCUACGGGGUAAAGCAGGGGACCUUCGGGCCUUGCGCUGAUGGAUGAGCUCGCGUCGGAUUAGCUUGUUGGUGAGGUAAAGGCUCACCAAGGCGACGAUCCGUAGCUGGUCUGAGAGGAUGAUCAGCCACACCGGGACUGAGCACGGCCCGGACUCCUACGGGAGGCAGCAGUGGGGAAUCUUGGACAAUGGGGGCAACCCUGAUCCAGCCAUGCCGCGUGUGUGAAGAAGGCCUUCGGGUUGUAAAGCACUUUCAGCAGGGAGGAAGGCUUACCCCUAAUACGGGUGAGUACUUGACGUUACCUGCAGAAGAAGCACCGGCUAAUUUCGUG
rnacentral:rRNA from 1 species